CGAUAUACAUUAAUGUAUUAUGG
rnacentral:piRNA from 1 species